AGAGUUUGAUCCUGGCUCAGGAUGAACGCUAGCGGCAGGCUUAACACAUGCAAGUCGAACGGUAACAGGUCCUUCGGGAUGCUGACGAGUGGCGCACGGGUGCGUAACGCGUAUGCAAUCUGCCCUUAUCUGGAGAAUAGCCCGGAGAAAUCCGGAUUAAUACUCCAUAACGUGCACUUCCCGCAUGGGUAGUGUAUUAAAGCUUCGGCGGAUAAGGAUGAGCAUGCGUCCUAUUAGCUUGUUGGUGAGGUAACGGCUCACCAAGGCUACGAUAGGUAGGGGGCCUGAGAGGGUGAUCCCCCACACUGGUACUGAGACACGGACCAGACUCCUACGGGAGGCAGCAGUGAGGAAUAUUGGACAAUGGGCGCAAGCCUGAUCCAGCCAUGCCGCGUGCAGGAUGACGGCCCUACGGGUUGUAAACUGCUUUUGUAUGGGAAUAAACCCCCGCACGUGUGCGGGGCUGAAGGUACCAUACGAAUAAGGAUCGGCUAACUCCGUGCCAGCAGCCGCGGUAAUACGGAGGAUCCAAGCGUUAUCCGGAUUCAUUGGGUUUAAAGGGUCCGC
rnacentral:rRNA from 1 species